UACUGAACUUGUGUUUUGGCUGAUUCUAAACUGAUGCGUAUCCAACAUUGGUGUUUAAACAAUUCUUGGUCCAUUGACUGUCUGAACUUGCAACCUUACUGCCUUGCAAUCUCUAAAUAUUUUCUUGAUCACUAAAUAAGACCAAUUUUAGCAUGUUUCCUGAAAUAUUGUAGCAUGUUUUAUGUUUCCAUCUACAAGUUCACACACUACUGUCUCGGACGUUCAAACAUUUGUUUCCCUGAUGUUCAGAUAUUAUCAUCUAGGAGGAAUACAUGUUGUAACUUCGAGAGAAAACGUUCAUGUUGAUUACUCCUGUCAAGUGUAAAAUUUCGCCAAUAUACAAUCUAUAAGUUCAAUAUCCAGUACAUUAGUUUAGUAGUUGGUACUAACUACUCCAGUUUUUUCUUGAUGUACCUGUGGUGUCUAGUUUUUCUUUCAGUUCAAUUUGUAAAUUUCAGCCAGUUCAAUUCGUAUUGUAGCUCCACUUUAGUCCACGUGGUUAAUUGUUGGCUGGUGUGUGUGCAGGGUACCGUGACAUUGAGUAGGCGCAAAGUGUAUCACUCCAGCAUGCCAUGCUCUAGUGCAUGUCAACAUUUUCUCCACUGCAAUGGAAGCUGCAGAUUUUUCUCCACUCUACUUGCCUUGCUAGUGUUUGCUUUAAUGCCUCAAUGGUGCACUAUGCAUCUUUUGCACUCUGAAGACAGAGCUUGAUUAGUCUGUUUCUACUAUUAGUUCAUGCAAACCUGGUUAUAUGAUGUUUUUUUUUCAUUGUUACUUGAUGUCUCAUUUUCCUGUUUUCUGUUAUAUUUUUCUAGGGAAGGUUCUUGUAAUUAUUAGUUCUUUGAUUGUAUGAUGCAACCGCUUACUCGAUGUCAUUCUCAUUGUUCUUGUAGUUGCAUAUAUGGAAGUGUGUGCUUGGUUUGGUUCCAUUUAUCUUUCUCUCAUGCCUGCCCUUUUGAUCUUAUAGGAAUUGAGGCUUCGCCAAGGAACAAGACUGGUAACUAGCGCAAAGGAGAUCAUGUCGAGAGGUGGCACUGCUAGACUUUUUGAUGUGUAGUUAUGGCAUAAAAAAGACGAAAAAAUGGUGUCUUGUAUGAUUCCAUAAGGUGUACGUAGCAUAUCUUUCCAUGUGGAUCAGUACAACUUAUGUACGGUCUUGAGUUCACAAAUCUUAUAGUAAUCUUUGUAGCUCUUCGUAAAGCAAGAUUGGCCCUUUUUUUGUGAGCAACAAUUCAAACAGAAAUCUGUUGUAUCAGUUCUUGUGAUAGAUAGAAGAAAGUUCACUCGCCAAAAGGUUAAAGAAGUCUACCUAAUAAUUUGCAAAUCUUAAAGAUAAUGAUCAGUUUGAAUUAAAAAAUGGUUUGCAUUAAAAACAAAUGAUCGGAUCAAAUUAAAAACAAUGAUUAGUUUGAAUUAAAAAAAUCUAAAUUAAAAAA
rnacentral:lncRNA from 1 species